rnacentral:rRNA from 1 species
CCAAUAGCGUAUAUUAAAGUUGUUGCAGUUAAAAAGCUCGUAGUUGAACUUCGGGGUUUACCCAUUGGUCAGGCUUAACUGUCUGUACUGGUGAGAUAAAUCUCUACCUUCUGAGGAACUUUCAUGUCAUUAAUUUGGUGUGAUUGGAAAUCAGGACUGUUACUUUGAAAAAAUUAGAGUGUUUAAAGCAGGCUAACGUC